UUUCACAAAAAAAUUUACCAAACACUCUACCGGCUUUAUUUCACAGCCGCUUAUUCUCACAGCACAGCCGCUUAUUCUCACAGCAGCUUUUUUUCAAAGCACAGCAAUACCAAACCAGCCCUAAGAAAGAUGCCGGUACAAAUGGGUAGUUUAAAAAGUUUGAGAACAUUGACUGUUUUUGUGUUGGGGAAAUCUACUGGGUCAAGUGGCAUUGGAGAAUUGGGGCAAUUGUCGCACCUUCGAGGAAAAUUCUCUAUCUUGAAUCUGCAAAAUGUUGUCAAUCCUAUAGAUGCCUUGGGGGCCAAUUUGAAGGAUAAGAAAGAUCUGAACGAAGUAGAGUUGGCAUGGGGUCGUGAGGAUGCAUAUGAUUCCAUCAAAGAGAGACGUGUACUUGAAAGUCUACAACCUUCAGUAAACCUGGCGAAGCUGACCAUCGGAUAUUAUGGUGGAACCAUCUUUCCGGAUUGGUUGGGAGACUCUUCCUUCUCCAACAUACAAGUCAUGCGUCUCACUGAUUGUAUUACUUGUUUGUGGUUGCCACCAGUUGGACGGUUACCCGCUCUCAAAAAGCUCUAUAUAGAAAGGAUGAAAUCUGUCAUGAGUAUUGGUGUUGAGUUCUACAGGGGUAUUGGAGCUUCUUUAAGUCAGCCAUUUCAAUCUCUCAAGAAGCUAGAGUUCACAGAGAUGCCGGAGUGGGAGGAAUGGCUACCUUGUUCAGGCAGAGGUGAAUCUCUAGACUUUCCUCGUCUUGAGGAGCUGAGUUUAGAGAAUUGUCCGAAGCUGAGGGGGAACUUGCCCGAUCAUCUUCCUUGCUUGAGAAAACUUUCCGUGUCUGACUGUGGGGUUCUACAUGAAGGGGCUACCAGAAUACCGUGGUCUCUCAUCGUUAACAUGGAGUCCUUGCGACAGUCUCUUGAAGAACUGCGGAUAGUUCGAUGCCCUGGUCUCUCGUCGUUACCGGAGACGGAGUCGCUUUCUUCGCUUACCAAACUUGCCAUUCAAUUUUUUAGUCCCAAAGAAUGCUUGCGGCCGCACUUCAGCAAUUGUCUUCAAAGCUUGAGUCUCGUUAACUGCGCAUCACUCUUGUCGUUCCCUAAAAAUGGUCUACCCACUUCGUUGACAUCUCUUACAAUAUACCAUUGCAGGAGAUUAGAAUUCCUAUCUCAUGAGAUGAUGGCCAAAUUGACAUCCCUUCAAGAUUUGAGAUUGACGGACAGCUGUGAUUCACUGAGGUCCUUCCCGCUGGGCGUUUUCCCCAAACUUUCAGUUCUUAAUAUAAUGGCCAAUAAAAAUCUAGAAUCCCUUUCGAUUGGAGGAGGAGCUGAAGUUGAAAAUCUCACUCAUCUCAAGGAGCUCUGUAUCGACUACUGUCGAAAUCUGGUCUCUUUUCCCCACGGGGGAUUGCACACUCCCAACCUGGCUGAAUUUAGAGUCUGGGGAUGCGAGAAUUUGAAGUUAUUGCCCGACCGAAUACACACCCUCACAGCCCUUCAAUUUUUGAAUAUAGAUCUUGAAAAUGUUGAGUCAUUUGCAGAAGGGGGUUUGCCUCCCAACCUACAAACAUUUCAUAUCGCACAGUGUGAGAAACUGAAGCCUUCAGUGGAGUACUGGGGUUUGCAACGAAUUGUCUCCCUUCGAACAAUUCGGAUCUGUGGAAGCGAGAAUGUGUUGGAGACGUUGCUCAAGGAACAGCUGCUCCCUACCACUCUUCACGCUCUCUAUAUCCACGGAAUGAGAAGUCUGAAAUCUUUGGAGGGAAAGGGACUUCAACACCUCACUUGUCUUCAAAAGCUCGGAAUUAGCAGCUGUGAUAGUCUCGAAUUCCUGCCAAAAGAGGGUCUUCCGGCAUCGCUCUCUUUCCUGAGUAUCGAAAGGUGUUCUUCUCUGGAGAGGAGGUGUCAGGAGAAGACGGGAGAAGAGUGGAUGAAGAUAGCUCACAUUCCUUGCAUCAAGAUAGACGACCAAGUCAUCAUUUGAGAUCUCAAGUCAAAGUGAGAUAGCAAAUUGUGCUGUAAAGAUUGAAUUACCUAAGUCCAUUGCAUCCAUCAAUUAGUUGUCUAUGAAUGGUUCUCCUGCAGUGUGACAUGAAUAUGAUUCUCCUUCAAUUGGAUAGAUCUGUUUUGGUACAUACACAGCUGUUGAAGUGAGAACGGGUGACGAUGACCACAAAACUAAAAUGAGAGCAAGUUUCUUUGGAGUGCUGCCCUCAUGCUUGCGCUUGAUGGAAGUUAGUACAUUAUGUUACAAGAGUGUGAACCAGUGUUGGUUCACCAAGAAAACAAGGGAAGAAGAAAUCUCUUGAUGGAAGCAAUGAUAUGAACUUGGAUGCAUCUCCAAAAUCUGAUGAGCAGGAAACUAAGAAAACGAAGCAGGAGGAGUUGAUGGAAAUUUAUAAUGGCAGCAGAGAUGGUACUGCUGCUAAGAGAAAUAAGAAUGACAAUGCCAAGGAAGUCAGAAAGCAUCUUAAAGUCGAGGAUUGAGACUCAAGAGGUUGAUUUUGGCAGCAGAGAUGGUGGCAAUGUGUGUUGGUUCACGUAGCAAACGAGAGAAGGAGAACGCCCUUGAUCAGAGCGAAGAUGUGAAGUACUCGGAUGUAGCAAAGCAGGACGAGUUGAUGGGAACUUGGAAUGCAUCAGAGAUGGUGGUGCUGCUGUGAAUGAGAAUGAUGUCAAGGUCAAGGGCAAGGCUGCAAGAGGGUGUCGCAGGGUCAAGGAAUGCCGCGUUGAGAGCAGAGAGAUAGAUAUUGAGCUUCCCCUACCUCAGGGUACCAUUAGCUGCUGAGGAUAUAGAAAAUGCUCUCCAGUUUUUGAAGUUCUGUGAAACAUUUAGCGAGAUCUCUAUAGCAAACAAGCACCAACUGCUCAUGGUUCCAAGAUUUGGAGAACCUGAUCUCCGCAUCCAGGGUCUCAAGGGUUGACCCCGUUAUGAAGGAGUUGCCUUCUGAGUGUUUUAGUGAAGGCAGGGAUGGAUAUGAUGCCUUAAGCUUCUCCCAAAAUCUUAGGCUUUUGAAUUUCCUCUGUGAUGGGGCUCUUAAUGCAAAUCCCUUGUCCAGGACGCUGAGGGGAUGGAUUGAGGAGCAAAAUAAAAGAGUUGUCCAAUGUAAAGGGUUUGCUCUAGCAAAGAAUAAGGAGAGAGAUCUCCAAGCAAAGUCGCUGGAGGAGAUGGCUAAGAGAACCACUGCAGAUAAUGGCAGUGCUGUCCCAAUUUCAGAGUUGGACUCCAUUGUUUCAUUACUCUGACGUAAGGCUGCUCGAGCUCACACGGAGGUGGUCGAUGCUAUGGCCAUGAUACCGGAAAGCGAUGGAAUAUGUGAGGCUGUUAGAAUACAGCCUUAUCUUGUCGAUGCUGAUGGACAUUGCUUUUGGAAACUGAAAGGCGAUUUUGGUGAAGAUAUAUUGCUUCAAGAUUUGGGAACCUGGGAUGGAACUCCAUCUGGUGAACAACGGUCCGUCUGCAGUGCUAAAGAGCCAAUAGACAAAUACCGCUCUUCCCCGGCUCUAAAGGAAAAACAGGCCAAGAGGGAGCGAAGGCAUUCCAAAUACUUGCAGCUUUCCCAAACUUCUUCGGAAAGCAAUAAUAAAAAUGCGCAGGUUUCCCAGACUCCUGAUAGCAAUGGCAAAAAGGGGCAGGUUUCCCAAGCUCCUGAAUGCAAUCGAGAGAACAUGGAGCUCGGUCCUGAGGUGAAUUAAACUUUUUUAGCCCAGAAGACAUUAAAUUCCUUUUCUUUUUCGUAAAUACAUAGGAAGGGGUAUACAUGUGCGAGAAAAUAUGUAUACAUACAACUAUACGAGUUGGCUGCCCAGGUUUCUGUAUGCAUUCCUACAUGGGAAAGCUGUUUCCCAGUUCGGAUUUCGCUCUCUACAAAUCUGAAGGGGCGGCGGUCUUGAGAAACCGGCACAGCUGCCUCCGAGCAGAAAGAAUUGAGAAGAGUGGUCCUGAUAUAUUGGGAUGAGCUUUGUCAUAGUUAUUUCUUAACAGCUUAUGAAAUUUUCAUGUAUCUUCAUCUCUUGAUAUAUGCUCCCAGUUCAACCUUCAAACUAUUGCGAAGUACCCUGGGUUUGGUCUUUAUGUGUUCGUUUGAGAUUGCUUUUGUAGGAGUCAUUUUUUUGUUCAUAAGCAUUUUCUAAAACUGCUUUUAUUAGA